CCCUUAGAUGUUCUGGGCCGCACGCGCGCUACACUGUUCGACGCAGCGAGUCUUAACCUUGACCGAAAGGUUUGGGUAAUCUUCAGCAAAGUCGAACGUGAUGGGGAUCGAUCAUUGCAAUUAUUGAUCGUGAACGAGGAAUUCCUAGUAAGUGCAAGUCAUCAGCUUGCGCUGAUUACGUCCCUGCCCUUUGUACACACCGCCCGUCGCUACUACCGAUUGAAUGGUUUAGUGAGAUCUCUGUAUUGACGCUGGCUAGGGGGCGACCCUUGGCCAGACUGUUGAGAAACUGCUCAAACUUGAUCAUUUAGAGGAAGUAAAAGUCGUAACA
rnacentral:rRNA from 1 species